UACGUAGGUGGCAAGCGUUGUCCGGAUUUAUUGGGUUUAAAGGGUGCGUAGGCAGCUUUGUAAGUCAGUGGUGAAAUAUGGCAGCUCAACUGUCAGGGUGCCAUUGAUACUGCGGAGCUUGAGUACAGAUGAGGUAGGCGGAGUUGACGGUGUAGCGGUGAAAUGCUUAGAUAUCGUCAAGAACACCGAUAGCGAAGGCAGCUUACUGGGCUGUAACUGACACUGAGGCACGAAAGUGUGGGGAUCAAACAGG
rnacentral:rRNA from 1 species